GACGAACGCUGGCGGCGGGCUUAACACAUGCAAGUCGAACGGAAAGGCCCUGCUUUUGUGGGGUGCUCGAGUGGCGAACGGGUGAGUAACACGUGAGUAACCUGCCCUUGACUUUGGGAUAACUUCAGGAAACUGGGGCUAAUACCGGAUAGGAGCUCCUGCUGCAGGGGGGGGGUUGGAAAGUUUCGGCUGUUGGGGAUGGACUCGCGGCUUAUCAGCUUGUUGGUGGGGUAGUGGCUUACCAAGGCUUUGACGGGUAGCCGGCCUGAGAGGGUGACCGGCCACAUUGGGACUAAGAGACGGACCAGACUCGUACGGGAGGCAGCAGUGGGGAGUAUUGCACAGUGGGCGGAAGCCUGAUGCAGCAACGCCGCGUGCGGGAUGACGGCCUUCGGGUUGUAAACCGCUGUCGCCUGUGACGAAGCGGUAGUGACGGUAAUGGGUGAAGAAGCACCGGCUAACUACGUG
rnacentral:rRNA from 1 species